AAAUCAUAUUUCACACUUUAUCCUUAGCAGGAUACAGUUUGAGAUUGCAAAAAAACCUCAGCACAAAGAAGAAACAAGUUGACAAAACAACAUCAUGCUGGGAACGGUGAAGUAGCAGAGCAGCCCAGACCAUUAUAGACCAGCACAUUGUUUGAUCUCAGUAUGGUCUGUUUUGUGUUAAUUUUCUGCCAGGCGUAAUGGGACACACAUCGCCCAAACAGUUCAACUUUGUCAGGGUAUAACACAUGGCUAAAAUCUACAGGAUGGAUGGGACCCUGGAGAUGCUCUGAGACUCUUUGGAUACCAGCUGUUCCUGAUUUGUUAUAUUUAAAAAUGUCUCGUUUCUAUUACGCAUCCAGCGUUUCUCGUGAGAAUAAACUCGAACACAAUUUGA